rnacentral:rRNA from 1 species
AUGGCAGAUAGAUUAAGGGACAGGGGAUGGCCACAUGCUGUGGUGUGCCCUAUGUGCGAUCAGGUUAGUGGAAGUGCAGUUCACUUGACGCUGAUUUGCCGUUUUGCCAAGCAAGUUUGGUGCGUUUUGGUUACUUUGCACGCUGCUGCUGCGGAAGCUGCAACGAUCAGUACCUCUAUCUUCAACUGGUGGCACAAAACCUCAAGAGUCAAGAUACACCAAGAACAUCUCAGGUCACGGCCAUCGUCUAUGUUGCCUGGAAUCUAUGGAAAGAGAGAAACAGGUGCAUCUUCAAAAAUGGGACUAUCUCGGUUGAGGGGGUUGUAG